GUGAACGAGCGACGCCGCGUGGAGGAUGAAGGCCUUCGGGUUGUAAACUCCUGUUGGGAGGGAACAAAUUUUGAGUGACCUCCUGAGGAAGCACGGGCUAAGUUCGUGCCAGCAGCCGCGGUAAGACGAACCGUGCGAACGUUAUUCGGAAUCAUUGGGCUUAAAGGGCGCGUAGGCGGCGGUGUAAGUUGGAAGUGAAAUCCCAUCGGCUCAACCGUGGAAUAGCUCCCAGUACUGCAUCGCUCGAGGGGGAUAGGGGUUUGCGGAACUACCGGUGGAGCGGUGAAAUGUGUUGAUAUCGGUGGGAACGCCAGUGGCGAAAGCGGCAAACUUGACCCUUCCUGACGCUGAGGCGCGAAAGCUAGGGGAGCAAACGGGAUUAGAUACCCCGGUAGUCCUAGCCUUAAACGUU
rnacentral:rRNA from 1 species